UCGCGAAACUUCGCAAUGGGGGCAACCCGACGAGGGAAUUCCAAGUGCUAGCACUUUGUGUUAGCUGUUCUUCUGUCUAAAAAACAGGAGGAGUAAGGGGCGGGUAAGACGGGUGCCAGCCGCCGCGGUAAUACCCGCGCCCCAAGUGGUGGUCGAUAUUAUUGAGCCUAAAACGUCCGUAGCCGGUCUUCUAAAUCCUUGGGUAAAUCGGGCAGCUUAACUGUCCGAAGUCCGGGGAGACUGGGAGACUUGGGACCGGGAGAGGUCAGAGGUACUUCUGGGGUAGGGGUAAAAUCCUGUAAUCCUGGAAGGACCACCGGUGGCGAAGGCGUCUGACUAGAACGGAUCCGACGGUGAGGGACGAAGCCCUGGGGCGCAAACGGGAUUAGAUACCCCGGUAGUCCAGGGUGUAAACGCUGCGGGCUUGGUGUUGGGGGUCCUUAGUGGGCGCCCAGUGCCGGAGAGAAGUUGUUAAGCCUGCUGCUUGGGGAGUAUGUCCGCAAGGAUGAAACUUAAAGGAAUUGGCGGGGGAGCACCGCAACGGGAGGAGCGUGCGGUUC
rnacentral:rRNA from 1 species